rnacentral:rRNA from 1 species
UACAGAGGGUGCAAGCGUUGUUCGGAAUUACUGGGCGUAAAGAGCGCGCAGGCGGUCGUUCAAGUCGCGUGUGAAAGCCCCCGGCUCAACUGGGGAGGGUCACGCGAUACUGAUCGACUCGAAGGCAGGAGAGGGUAGUGGAAUUCCCGGUGUAGUGGUGAAAUGCGUAGAUAUCGGGAGGAACACCAGUGGCGAAGGCGACUACCUGGCCUGUUCUUGACGCUGAGGCGCGAAAGCUAGGGGAGCAAACGGG